rnacentral:RNase_P_RNA from 1 species
UGAGUAAACCGGGUGAUCGCGUAUUGUAAAAUAUGAGGAAAGUCCGAGCUUCACAGAGCAACAAUGCCAGUUAACGGCUGGUGGAGGCGACUCCAAGGCUAGUGCAACAGAGAGAUACCGCCAUCCUUCGGGGUGGUAAGGGUGGAAAGGUGAGGUAAGAGCUCACCAGUGUGCAGGCAACUGUACAGCUAUGUAAACCCCAUUGGAAGCAAGACCAAGUUGAGAUACUAAAAGCCGGUUGCUCGUCGGUUUCUCGUUGGUAGGUCGCAUGAGCCGCGCGGUGACGCACGGCCUAGAUAGAUGAUCAUCUAAGACAGAACUCGGCUUACAGGUUUACUCGUUUA